rnacentral:rRNA from 1 species
AAUGGGGGAUAACGUAGCGAAAGUUACGCUAAUACCGCAUAUGCCCUGAGGGGGAAAGUGGGGGAUCGCAAGACCUCACGUUUUCGGAGCGGCCGAUAUCAGAUUAGCUAGUUGGUGGGGUAAAGGCCUACCAAGGCGACGAUCUGUAGCUGGUCUGAGAGGACGACCAGCCACACUGGGACUGAGACACGGCCCAGACUCCUACGGGAGGCAGCAGUGGGGAAUUUUGGACAAUGGGGGCAACCCUGAUCCAGCCAUGCCGCGUGAGUGAAGAAGGCCUUCGGGUUGUAAAGCUCUUUCGUACGGGAAGAAAUGGCACGCUCUAACAUAGCGUGUUGAUGACGGUACCGUAAGAAGAAGCACCGGCUAACUACGUGCCAGCAGCCGCGGUAAUACGUAGGGUGCGAGCGUUAAUCGGAAUUACUGGGCGUAAAGCGUGCGCAGGCGGUUUAUUAAGACAGAUGUGAAAUCCCCGGGCUCAACCUGGGAACUGCAUUUGUGACUGGUAGGCUAGAGUGUAGCAGAGGGGGGUAGAAUUCCA